ACUUUUCUCUCUCAAUAAGGAUGAACUGAGGACAGUCUGCCCUGAAGGGGCGAGAGUCUAUAGCCAAAUCACUGUACAAAAAGCUGCAUUGGAGGAUAGCAGUGGCAGCUCCGAGUUACAAGAAAUUAUGAGAAGACGACAGGAAAAAAUCAGUGCUGCCGCUAGUGAUUCAGGAGUGGAAUCUUUUGAUGAAGGAAGCAGUCACUAAUUUGUUUGUUUGUAUUUAAACUCCAUUGUUUUUGGCAUUAUUCCAACAUGCUUUGUUUUAAGAAGCCUUGAAGGGAAUGUCAGAUUCAUUUUUCUUGAUGUAAUUUAUCACCAUAAAAAAAAACCCAUGCAAACCUGAGUGAGCACAGGAUUUGCUUCUAGGCCCAUUAUUUUUAUUAAAACUGAAAAAAUUUAAACUGAAUUUUUUGACCUUGGAAAAUAUUUUUCUUACUUUACCAAGGUGAAGUUUCCUUAAUUAGACUAAUUAUUUUAUCCCCAUCCCAGGGUAUAAACAGGAAUUGUUUUGAUAGUGGUGGAGUUAUUCACUGCAACAAAGCAACAAUGUUGUCCAUGAUUCAAAAUCUAAGCAGUUUCGAUUUUGCCUGUGAAUAUGGUGUCUGUCAUUCAGGGCAUAGCUCACUGUAGGCUAGCCUCUGCUUACUUAAGUCUCUUCUCUGACAUACUCAAUGGAAGAAUAUUUAGAUUUAUUUAAAGUUCUUAAUGCCAACAGUUUAAAAAAAAAUUAAAACAUUUGAAUGAACUGUAAAGUACAGCCAUACCUUGGACAUGCAAAUAUAAAUCUAUGGAGCAUUCUCAAGAGAGUUUGUCAUGGCUCUGUUGAUUGCAACUCCUUGUAUAGCUUGUAUUUUGAUUUAGUUUAUAUUCUGCUUAUUAUGUAUACUGUGUUCUUAUAUAUGAGAAAGCACAAAUGCGAAAGAGGUCAUGUCUUCUCAAAAUCUAGCAAAGGAAGUAGUCUGCAUUGGUGUGCAUUACAGUAUUUUGCUUAAUGAAAGCCUCAGUUCUGAAUGUUGAUAUGAGUAGUUAAAAGGAAGUGGGGCCAUUUUAUGUGUUUAUCUGUGUCAAGUAUUUCUGGUAAUAAGAAGCACUUAAUUUACACAUAUUUUAAUCCUGUGAAAGAUUCCACAUAGAGAAAAGAAAGAUACCUAACCUUCAACAAAUGUUAUUUUUGGAAACACAAUUUUUGUCAUUAAAUGUUAUAUUAUUUCACAUAUAUAAAACAGAUGUUAUGUAAGAAUGUUGUAUAUUUUAACAUAAAUCAUUUAGAGAAAUUAUCUAGAUUCAUUAAUUUUCAUAGUGCCUUUUUCACAUGAGUCAGCUGGAAAGUCUGCAAUAAACAGUAUUUGCUGUCUGU
rnacentral:lncRNA from 1 species